rnacentral:rRNA from 1 species
GAGGGGUGCAAGCGUUAUUCGGAAUCAUUGGGCGUAAAGGGUGUGUAGGCGGCAACCUAAGUCAACUGUUAAAGACCCCGGCCUAACUGGGGACAGGCGGUAGAUACUGGGUUGCUAGAGGAAGGAAGAGAGAAGUGGAAUUCUCGGAGUAGCGGUAAAAUGCGUGGAUCUCGAGAGGAACACCAAUGGCGAAGGCAGCUUCUUGGUCCUUUCCUGACGCUGAGACACGAAAGCGUGGGGAGCAAACAGGAUUAGAUACCCUGGUAGUCCACGCCGUAAACGAUGAUCACUAGACGUUAGUCCCUGUUUUUACAGGGUUAGUGUCGUAGCUAACGCGCUAAGUGGUCCGCCUGGGGACUACGGUCGCAAGACUA